rnacentral:rRNA from 1 species
GAUGAACGCUGGCGGUAUGCUUAACACAUGCAAGUCGAACGGUCACUUCGGUGAUAGUGGCGGACGGGUGAGUAACGCGUGAGAAUCUGUCUUCAGGUCGGGGACAACAGUUAGAAAUGACUGCUAAUACCGGAUGUGCCUUUGGGUGAAAGAUUUAUUGCCUGAAAAAGAGCUCGCGUCAGAUUAGCUAGUAGGUGGUGUAAGAGACUACCUAGGCUCCGAUCUGUAGCUGGUCUGAGAGGACGAUCAGCCACACUGGAACUGAGACACGGUCCAGACUCCUACGGGAGGCAGCAGUGGGGAAUUUUACGCAAUGGGCGAAAGCCUGACGGAGCAAUACCGCGUGAGGGACGAAGGCUUUUGGGUCGUAAACCUCUUUUCUCAAGGAAGAUGAUGACGGUACUUGAGGAAUAAGCAUCGGCUAACUCUGUG